rnacentral:lncRNA from 1 species
GUGUCUGAUUCCUGUAAACCAUUUACUUCCCCACUCAUUGUCCAAUUCUUUUUUGUCUUUCAUUCUCUAACCAUUCAUUGCCACUCAUUACCCAAUCAUCAAUCCAAUCCUAACCCUAAUCCAAUCAUUCUCUAUGUCUCAUUAUCCAUUCACUGUCACUCACUGUCCAGUUGUUUUCUGUGUCUCAUUCUGUUACCAUUCACUGCCCUUUAUUGUCCAAUCAUUCUCUAUGUAUUAUUCUCUCUCCAUUCAAUGCUACUCAUUGUCCAGCCAUUCUCUGUGUCUCAUUCUCUAUCCAUUCACUGGCACUCACUGUCCAGUUGUUUUCCGUGUCUCAUUUUCUCACCAUUCAUUGCCAUUCCUUGUCCAAUCAUUCUGUGUGUUUCAUUAUUUAACUAUUAACUGCCAUUUAGUGUGUAAUCAUUCUGUCUCAUUUUCUACCCAUUCAUUGCCAUUCAUUAUCCAAUCAUUCUCUGUCUCUCUUUAUCCAUUCUCUCCUCUUCAUUUUCCAGUCAUUCUCUGUGUCUUAUUGUGCAGCCAUUCAUUGCUUCUCCUUGUCCAAUCACUCUCUGUAUCUUAUUCUUUACCCAUUCAUUGCUACUCACUGUCCAAUUAUUCUGUCUCUCAUCCUAUAACCAUUCAUUACCACUUGUUAUCCAAUCAUUCUCUAUGUUUCAUUCUUUAACUAUUAACUCCCACUCACUGUCAAACCAUUUUACAUCGUAUUUUCUCCCUAUUCACUGCCACUCACUGUCCAAUCACUGUCUGUGUCUCAUUCUCUCAGCAGUCAGUGCCACUCACUUUCCCAUCAUUCUCUGUUAUUCUCUAACCCUUCAUUGCCAAUUCUUGUCAGUCAUCUCUGUUGUUUCAUUUUCUAUCUAUGUCA